UACUUUUAUGUGUGUCUGCAUAAUUUAACAUAAAAUAAAGAUUUAUCUCUUCUCUCACAAUUUUUCUUGUAUAGUUGUGUAUAGAAAAAUUGUUUUAGUAAUGUAUUUAAUUCUCUUUUCUCAUAGCUGUUAAAUUCAUUUUCGGAUUCUAGUCUACUUUGCCGUGAGAAGCAGUACCAAGGUGGAUGUGGAAACGGCCUAUUAAUCUGCGCGGGCCUACCGCGGUUGUUAUCCUAUGGAGUUUUAUUGAAAAUCAGUAGCAGUUCAUAACAAUAAGCAUCUUUUGGUUUCCUCAGAACGCACUAGGAUUUUCGGACUUGUUUCAAAUUGUAAGUGGUAGCAUUUAAUGUUUUUCUAUUUUUUUACGCAGAUUAUGGUGCCGGACAAAAUGAUUUGUCGCCUUUAUUGGAGAGAGUUUUCUCGAAAAUAUAACAAACCGUAAAAGAAAGCAUCUUUAGGUUUCUUUACAACGUGUUCUCAGGACACUGCCUGAUUUUUCCCAAAAUGUUUAACGCGGCGUCGUUCAUGAAAAGCAGCACCGAGGAUGAACCUACCGAACGCUGCCCCUGAAGCUUGGGAAAAAAGAAAGACCAAGUACUUCUUGACUUGAUUUGUCAGAGAUGUAAAACCAGCCCCAAAAUCCAACCAAUUGUGCAGGAUAAGACUCGACGAGACUGAACAAGAACUGAAAAAUUGUUACCUGCGCUUUUAAGAAUAUUUGUUUAUAUAAUAUUGAAACUUGAUUGAAAAUUUAAUGCUGCUGGAAAAUAGCGCCAAAUUUAGAUUUACCACGCACUUUAUUUCAAAAUGCAGCCGAAGAUUUCAUUACAAAUUGUUGUUGCAAUAUAUGUUAGAUUGUAUUGCUAUUGCGUAACAUGUCAUAUUGUAUUGCCUUGCGAUAUAAGUUGCAUUGCAUUGUUUUUACUAUAGUUAUAUUCAAUUCCACGCCGGGUAUAAAAUUGAAUUGUAUAAAAAAAGCACCCGACGAAAUCUCUAGUUUAUAUUUAUAUUUUAUUCUAUAUCUUAUACUUUAGUUAUUCUUUAGUUUGACUGAGAUAAGCAACGUAAAACUUUAGUUAUAAAUUUAAUUUGGACUAAAAUGAGUAGAAUUUGGCUGAUUUUGAUUCUGUGCACAAAAUGCUACAAUAAUUUUAAACUUGUUUUAGUCUGUAGAUAUAUUGCACAAAUUUGUAUUGUCGAAUUAA